CUCCCCAAGCUCAAAAUUCUUCGGCAUUCAAUGCAUUCACGAAGAAAAAGAGAAGCUAAUUUCGCACUAAGAACCAUUAUGACCUGUGCAAGUAAACACAGCUCGUGCAAUCACCUCCGCAUUUUAUCUCAAAAAGACAAACCAAAUGCGUCACUUCCUUGCCCUCUCUAGGCCCAAAUAGAGAGAGCUAAAAAGGCGGUUUGACCUCCAAGGAAUGAGCAUGGCUGGGCCUUCAAACGACGGAUAUGCGUACGCUAUUUUUCCCGGAUGAAGAAGACCUCAAAGAAAUCAGCGAAACCUGGGGAACCAGCUAAAAUUCUGGAACGAAUUCCAACCAAAAUAGACUGAGACACCCUUUUCAGAUGUCUUUUGCCAUCACUUCCUUCGAAUUCAAAUGAAAGAGGAAUCGUCGUCUUUCUCGGAAUCCAGUCCAACGAGGCCUUCAAAUCAAGAAAGUCCAAAAAUGAAGAGGUCUUCCACUGAAGACGGUCCCGUCACUUCCGACAGAGCAAAGCAGAUCUUCAAAAUCAUAGGCAGUAGAACUAUUGAGGAAGGUUUUAAGCCUCAGAAGUUAAAAUUUUGAUUACUGCAAAAACUUUAAAAAAUUCCGAAGAAAAGGCAAAACAUAAAGCAUUAAUAUAGGCUAAAAUUAAUUUUACUGAACGUCUCCAGACAGGAGAAACGUUGCUGCAAUCAAAUUUGCUAUUUGCUGGUAGCCCUCGAGCUGCUCAACAGUCUGUAAAGUCAUUUAUUUUUAAGAAAAAACUACACUGGUUCUUGAAAGACUUCUUAGACCUGAUAAUUGAUGCACAGUAGCAAUAAUUUCAUUUGUGCUUUGGCGGGGAAUAUUGUGUAAAAAUGUCGUACACAUUAAGGGCUACUGAAACUGACAGUAUAUCUCGGGUUAAAUCUUUAUCAAUUUGCAACACGGUUCUCAAUAAAACAUUUUUCUAUUUAGAUAAAGCUUUAAAAAGUAGAAUGUCAGUGAUAUGAAUUUUUGUACAAUAUACUAUUAAAAAAAUAAUAUUAAUUUUUUGGGCGUAU